CCAAGACUCAACUUAAAGAGACAGAGUACCCUCAGAAGCCAGAAGAGGGUGUUGGAUCCUCUGGAACUGGAGUUACCAGAUGGCUGUGAGCUACCAGCAUGCCUGGAGCAUUCCUGGAGAGCUGCUGGUCUUUGGUACACAUUGGAGCCCAGAAGUUGGUUCUGAUACUGAUGAAGGACUUCCUCAGCAACAGCUGGUGCUUGCCAGCGAGAGUGAGGACAAGCAGGAAAAGAGGCAAGUUUCCUUCUGCCAUGCCCUCUUUGUAGGCUGCCACCAGAGGGUGUGGCCCAGAUUCAGGGUACCCUUCCUGCUUCCUGUAAGGCUCAGGGUCUUUGAAAGCCAGAAUGUCUUCUGUCUUAUCAGUAUGGAGUCAUACUUUCCAACGUACAAAUUUGAGGUUAAUAACUGCUAAAUACUGUAAAAAAUCAGAUAAACAGUUCAGAACUGGCA